UACGUAGGUCGCAAGCGUUGUCCGGAUUUACUGGGCGUAAAGAGCGCGCAGGCGGCUGGCCAAGUCCGAUGUGAAAGCUUCCGGCUUAACUGGAAAAUUGCAUCGGAAACUGGUCGGCUUGAAGGUGGGAGAGGGUAGCGGAAUUCCCGGUGUAGUGGUGAAAUGCGUAGGUAUCGGGAGGAACACCAGUGGCGAAGGCGGCUACCUGGCCCAUUCUUGACGCUGAGGCGCGAAAGCUAGGGGAGCGAACGGG
rnacentral:rRNA from 1 species